rnacentral:snRNA from 1 species
AUGGUUACCUGGUGCCGGGACCUCGUUGAUCACCGAGGACGAGCCUCCUGGGCGAGGCGCGGGUAUUGCACUGCGUUCGCUUUGACCUUUGCUAGUACCCCAAACUGGAGCAGAUGGGGCAUGCAAGUUGCUUAAAUCCGGUUCAACACAAGAGAGGCCGCAACCGCC